CCAGCAAGUGUGUCACCUGAGGAACGCCAGCACAGGGAGUCGGGGUCUUUUUAAAAACUCAUCGAACCCUGGCGUUCACCACGACAGAAAUUUGUUUCCAGUCCCAUGUGCUUGAAAAGCAGUCCCUUGAGUGAGGUGACUUUGGGAGUGGAUCCCAAAUGCAGUCUUAAGCAGGUGAGGAAGAGUGAUUGAAAUGGAAUCUUCCAGUCCAGACAAAUCUCAAGCUGGCUGUGAAAGGCUUCUGAGGUCUCAGAACUUGGUGAGAACUGUAGAAUCACCUCAACCUACCCAGAAAAAGCCAGACUAUUUAACAUACUAUUUAACAUUUAGCUGUUGCCUCUAAAAGUUGAACCCUUUAUAUCUUUUUAAUGGAUUUUUCAUUUCUUGAUAAAUAAUUGAAAUUUGUUAAAAAUUUCAUCAACAAAGUAAAUUCUUAGAACUGUGGAGAGUUCUGAUCACAAACUGGGAAAAUAUGCAUUCUCUCUC